rnacentral:rRNA from 1 species
AUUCCAAUCGAACUCGGAGAUAGCUGGUUCUCCCCGAAAUAGCUUUAGGGCUAGCGUCGGAUAUGUGUAGUGGAGGUAGAGCACUGAAUGGGCUAGGGGGCAUAGCGCUUACCGAACCUUAUCAAACUCCGAAUGCCACAUACAUUAAGUCCGGCAGUCAGACUACGAAUGAUAAGAUCCGUGGUCAAAAGGGAAACAGCCCAGAUCGUCAGCUAAGGUCCCAAAGUGUAAGUUAAGUGGAAAAGGAUGUGGGAUUUCUAAGACAACUAGGAUGUUGGCUUAGAAGCAGCCACUCAUUUAAAGAGUGCGUAAUAGCUCACUAGUCGAGAGAUCCUGCGCCGAAAAUGUCCGGGGCUCAAACUUACCACCGAAGCUACGGGCUUGCAUUAGCAAGCGGUAGGGGAGCGUCGUAAUCGGGCUGAAGUCGUACCGUAAGGAGCGGUGGACUGAUUACGAGUGAGAAUGUUGGCAUUAGUAGCGAGAUGUAGGUGAGAAUCCUACAGGCCGAAUAUCUAAGGUUUCCUCAGGAAGGCUCGUCCGCUGAGGGUUAGUCGGGACCUAAGCCGAGGCCGAAAGGCGUAGGCGAUGGACAAUCGGUUGAUAUUCCGAUACCACUACCAUCGUUAUUAUCGAGGGUGUGACGGAGAAGGAUAGUGUGUGCUAGCGAUUGGAAAUGCUAGUCUAAGCGUUUAGGGAGUUACGGUAGGCAAAUCCGCUGUAACAAUUCUGAGGCGUGAUGGGGAAGGCCAUAUAGGCCGAAGUACAUGAUUCCAUGCUUCCAAGAAAAGCAUCUAGAGAGAGAAGUAGUGCCCGUACCGCAAACCGACACAGGUAGAUGAGGAGAGAAUCCUAAGGCCGGCGGAAGAAUUGCAGUUAAGGAACUAGGCAAAUUGACCCCGUAAGUUCGCGAGAAGGGGUGCCUGCGAGAGCAGGCCGCAGAGAAUAGGCCCAAGCAACUGUUUAGCAAAAACACAGGUCUCUGCUAAAGCGCAAGCUGAUGUAUAGGGGCUGACGCCUGCCCGGUGCUGGAAGGUUAAGGGGAACACUUAGCGCAAGCGAAGGUGUGAACUUAAGCCCCAGUAAACGGCGGCCGUAACUAUAACGGUCCUAAGGUAGCGAAAUUCCUUGUCAGGUAAGUUCUGACCCGCACGAAUGGCGUAAUGACUUGGGCACUGUCUCAACUGCAAAUCCGGCGAAGUUGUAGUGCGAGUGAAGAUGCUCGCUACCCGCGAUUGGACGGAAAGACCCCGUAGAGCUUUACUGCAGCUUAGCAUUGAAUUCCGGUAUUGUCUGUACAGGAUAGGUGGGAGACUGGGAAACUAGGGCGUCAGCCUUAGUGGAGUCAACCUUGGGAUACCACCCUGACAGUACUGGGGUUCUAACAGGACGCCAUGAAUCUGGUGACUGGACAUUGUUAGGUGGGCAGUUUGACUGGGGCGGUCGCCUCCUAAAAAGUAACGGAGGCGCCCAAAGGUUCCCUCAGAACGGUCGGAAAUCGUUCGUAGAGUGCAAAGGCAUAAGGGAGCCUGACUGCGAGACCUACAAGUCGAGCAGGGACGAAAGUCGGGCUUAGUGAUCCGGUGGUACCUCGUGGGAGGGCCAUCGCUCAACGGAUAAAAGCUACCUCGGGGAUAACAGGCUGAUCUCCCCCAAGAGUCCACAUCGACGGGGAGGUUUGGCAC